rnacentral:rRNA from 1 species
CCUACGGGGGGCUGCAGUAGGGAAUAUUGCUCAAUGGGGGAAACCCUGAAGCAGCAACGCCGCGUGGAGGAUGAAGGUUUUCGGAUUGUAAACUCCUUUUUUUAGAGAAGUUAAUGACGGUAUCUAACGAAUAAGCACCGGCUAACUCCGUGCCAGCAGCCGCGGUAAUACGGAGGGUGCAAGCGUUACUCGGAAUCACUGGGCGUAAAGCGCGCGUAGGCGGGAUAGCAAGUCAGAUGUGAAAUCGUAUGGCUUAACCAUAGAACUGCAGUUGAAACUGUUAUUCUAGAGUAUGGGAGAGGUAGGUGGAAUUCUUGGUGUAGGGGUAAAAUCCGUAGAGAUCAAGAGGAAUACUCAUUGCGAAGGCGACCUGCUAGAACAUAACUGACGCUGAUGCGCGAAAGCGUGGGGAGCAAACAGGAUUAGAUACCCCAGUAGUC